rnacentral:rRNA from 1 species
UACGUAGGGUGCGAGCGUUAAUCGGAUUUACUGGGCGUAAAGCGUGCGCAGGCGGCCCGUUAAGUCAGGUGUGAAAUCCCUGGGCUCAACCUAGGAAUUGCGCUUGUGACUGGCGGGCUCGAGUACGGUAGAGGGGGGUGGAAUUCCUGGUGUAGCAGUGAAAUGCGUAGAGAUCAGGAGGAACACCGAUGGCGAAGGCAGCCCCCUGGGCCUGUACUGACGCUCAGGCACGAAAGCGUGGGGAGCAAACAGG